CAUUAUUUUAAUUUUCAUGAUUUUUUUUUUUGUGUUUGUUUUAAAUUACAUAAAUUAAAUCUACCUACUUAUAUUAUUUUGUAUACCUGCCAUAUUUCAUUUAACAGCAGCCAAUAUUAUAUAUGAUGUGUCGCUUAGAAAAUGGUUUACUAUUUCAGUAAUAUAAUGUAUUUUUGUGGGAUGCACGGAGACGAUAUUUACUGGAGGAAUAGAAGGAUUAUCAAUGUAAGGGCAACCAGGAAUUACUGGAUAUCUUAUUAUCAGAUUACGUAUAGUAUUGUUUGAUAAUUAAUACAUAAAUGUUGAUAAUUACACGUGCAAAUUAUCAUUGUUCAAAAAUGUUUUAAAUAUAAUUCCAUGUCUGUAAUUGU